AUUGAACGCUGGCGGCAGGCCUAACACAUGCAAGUCGAACGAGUGGCGGACGGGUGAGUAAUGUCUGGGAAACUGUCCGAUGGAGGGGGAUAACUACGGGAAACGGUAGCUAAUACCGCAUACCAUCGGAGGUGCCCACAUGGGGUUAGCUAGUCGGGGGGGUAACGGCUCACCUAGGCGACGAUCCCUCUCUGGUCUGAGAGGAUGACCAGCCACAAUGGAACUGAGACACGGUCCAGACUCCUACGGGAGGCAGCAGUGGGGAAUAUUGCACAAUGGGCGCAAGCCUGAUGCAGCCAUGCCGCGUGUAUGAAGAAGGCCUUCGGGUUGUAAAGUACUUUCAGCGAGGAGGCGUUACUCGCAGAAGAAGCACCGGCUAACUCCGUGCCAGCAGCCGCGGUAAUUC
rnacentral:rRNA from 1 species